rnacentral:rRNA from 1 species
UACGAAGGGGGCUAGCGUUGCUCGGAAUCACUGGGCGUAAAGGGUGCGUAGGCGGGUCUUUAAGUCAGGGGUGAAAUCCUGGAGCUCAACUCCAGAACUGCCUUUGAUACUGAGGAUCUUGAGUUCGGGAGAGGUGAGUGGAACUGCGAGUGUAGAGGUGAAAUUCGUAGAUAUUCGGAGGAACACCAGUGGCGAAGGCGGCUCACUGGUCCGGUACUGACGCUGAGGUGCGAAAGCGUGGGGAGCGAACAGG